AACAACAGCAGACAGCACCAUAUGACUAACAUCCGGAAGGACCAAACUUCCUUUGUCUUGUGAACACCGCAAACUUUUUGAAUCCCACAGCAUAGUCCAUGAGAUGAAUAGCAGGAGAUGUACAUCAGCAGGUAAAAGAUAACCACUUACCUUGUAACUACCAUCUACACCUAUGGAUUCAAACUCCAAUUUCGAAGGAUUCCCGGA
rnacentral:lncRNA from 1 species